AUUGAACGCUGGCGGCAGGCCUAACACAUGCAAGUCGAACGAGUGGCGGACGGGUGAGUAAUGUCUGGGAAACUGCCCGAUGGAGGGGGGUAACUACUGGAAACGGUAGCUAAUACCGCAUACCAUCGGAUGUGCCCAGAUGGGAUUAGCUCGUAGGUGGGGUAACGGCUCACCUAGGCGACGAUCCCUAGCUGGUCUGAGAGAAUGACCAGCCACACGUGAACGGAGACACGGUCCAGACUCCUACGGGAGGCAGCAGUGGGGAAUAUUGCACAAUGGGCGCAAGCCUGAUGCAGCCAUGCCGCUUGUAUGAAGAAGUCUUUCGGUUUGUAAAGUACUUUCAGCGAGGAGGCGUUACUCGCAGAAGAAGCACCGGCUAACUCCGUGCCAGCAGCCGCGGUAUAC
rnacentral:rRNA from 1 species